rnacentral:rRNA from 1 species
GUAGGGGGGCCAGCGUUGUCCGGAUUCAUUGGGGCGUAAAGAGCGUGUAGGCGGUUCAAUAGGUCCGAUGUGAAAACUCGAGGGCUCAACCUCGAGAGGUCGUCGGAAACCAUUGGGCUAGAGUCCGGAAGAGGAGAGUGGAAUUCCUGGUGUAGCGGUGAAAUGCGCAGAUAUCAGGAAGAACACCGAUGGCGAAGGCAGCUCUCUGGGACGGUACUGACGCUGAGACGCGAAAGCGUGGGGAGCGAACAGGAUUAGAUACCCUGGUAGUCCACGCCGUAAACGAUGGGCACUAGGUGUGGUGUGUCGACUCCAUCCGUGCCGCAGCUAACGCAUUAAGUGCCCCGCCUGGGGAGUACGGCCGCAAGGCUA